rnacentral:lncRNA from 1 species
AUUUCCAUGUGAUGGUGUCCGGGAUACCUGGGGUAAGGUGUAGGCAGUUGGUCUCAACCCAUAGUCGGUAGUACUCAAUGAAAUAUGUGGUAGUAAAUCCUUGAUGACGAAGGUUUAAAUCUCUUAUCCAUGUGUGAUUUGUGACUGCAUCAUAUAGUGUCAUGUUCUUCCUUCUGGAGAUAUGAUACAGAUUUGGCGCAAUGUCCCUUGGCCUUUGUCCACUUACCCAG